UCAGAGUGAACGCUGGCGGUAGGCCUAACACAUGCAAGUCGAACGGCAGCACAGUAAGAGCUUGCUCUUAUGGGUGGCGAGUGGCGGACGGGUGAGGAAUACAUCGGAAUCUACUUUUUCGUGGGGGAUAACGUAGGGAAACUUACGCUAAUACCGCAUACGACCUACGGGUGAAAGCAGGGGAUCUUCGGACCUUGCGCGAUUGAAUGAGCCGAUGUCGGAUUAGCUAGUUGGCGGGGUAAAGGCCCACCAAGGCGACGAUCCGUAGCUGGUCUGAGAGGAUGAUCAGCCACACUGGAACUGAGACACGGUCCAGACUCCUACGGGAGGCAGCAGUGGGGAAUAUUGGACAAUGGGCGCAAGCCUGAUCCAGCCAUACCGCGUGGGUGAAGAAGGCCUUCGGGUUGUAAAGCCCUUUUGUUGGGAAAGAAAUCCAGCCGGUUAAUACCUGGUUGGGAUGACGGUACCCAAAGAAUAAGCACCGGCUAACUUCGUGCCAGCAGCCGCGGUAAUACGAAGGGUGCAAGCGUUACUCGGAAUUACUGGGCGUAAAGCGUGCGUAGGUGGUUGUUUAAGUCUGUUGUGAAAGCCCUGGGCUCAACCUGGGAACUGCAGUGGAAACUGGACAACUAGAGUGUGGUAGAGGGUAGCGGAAUUCCCGGUGUAGCAGUGAAAUGCGUAGAGAUCGGGAGGAACAUCCAUGGCGAAGGCAGCUACCUGGACCAACAC
rnacentral:rRNA from 1 species